ACGUAGGUGACGAGCGUUGUCCGGAUUUACUGGGCGUAAAGAGCGCGCAGGCGGUCGUUCAAGUCGAGUGUGAAAGCCCCCGGCUCAACUGGGGAGGGUCACUCGAUACUGAUCGACUCGAAGGCAGGAGAGGGAAGUGGAAUUCCCGGUGUAGCAGUGAAAUGCGUAGAGAUCGGGAGGAACACCAGUGGCGAAGGCGGCUACCUGGACCAGCACUGACACUGAGGCACGAAAGCGUGGGGAGCAAACAGGA
rnacentral:rRNA from 1 species